rnacentral:rRNA from 1 species
GACGAACGCUGGCGGCGUGCUUAACACAUGCAAGUCGAACGGAAAGGCCCUGCUUUUGUGGGGUGCUCGAGUGGCGAACGGGUGAGUAACACGUGAGUAACCUGCCCUUGACUUUGGGAUAACUUCAGGAAACUGGGGCUAAUACCGGAUAGGAGCUCCUGCUGCAUGGUGGGGGUUGGAAAGUUUCGGCGGUUGGGGAUGGACUCGCGGCUUAUCAGCUUGUUGGUGGGGUAGUGGCUUACCAAGGCUUUGACGGGUAGCCGGCCUGAGAGGGUGACCGGCCACAUUGGGACUGAGAUACGGCCCAGACUCCUACGGGAGGCAGCAGUGGGGAAUAUUGCACAAUGGGCGGAAGCCUGAUGCAGCAACGCCGCGUGCGGGAUGACGGCCUUCGGGUUGUAAACCGCUUUCGCCUGUGACGAAGCGUGAGUGACGGUAAUAGGUAAAGAAGCACCGGCUAACUACGUGCCAGCAGCCGCGGUGAUACGUAGGGUGCGAGCGUUGUCCGGAUUUAUUGGGCGUAAAGGGCUCGUAGGUGGUUGAUCGCGUCGGAAGUGUAAUCUUGGGGCUUAACCCUGAGCGUGCUUUCGAUACGGGUUGACUUGAGGAAGGUAGGGGAGAAUGGAAUUCCUGGUGGAGCGGUGGAAUGCGCAGAUAUCAGGAGGAACACCAGUGGCGAAGGCGGUUCUCUGGGCCUUUCCUGACGCUGAGGAGCGAAAGCGUGGGGAGCGAACAGGCUUAGAUACCCUGGUAGUCCACGCUGUAAACGGUGGGUACUAGGUGUGGGGUCCAUUCCACGGGUUCCGUGCCGUAGCUAACGCUUUAAGUACCCCGCCUGGGGAGUACGGCCGCAAGGCUAAAACUCAAAGGAAUUGACGGGGCCCCGCACAAGCGGCGGAGCAUGCGGAUUAAUUCGAUGCAACGCGUAGAACCUUACCUGGGUUUGACAUGGAUCGGGAGUGCUCAGAGAUGGGUGUGCCUCUUUUGGGGUCGGUUCACAGGUGGUGCAUGGCUGUCGUCAGCUCGUGUCGUGAGAUGUUGGGUUAAGUCCCGCAACGAGCGCAACCCUUGUUCACUGUUGCCAGCACGUUAUGGUGGGGACUCAGUGGAGACCGCCGGGGUCAACUCGGAGGAAGGUGGGGAUGACGUCAAGUCAUCAUGCCCCUUAUGUCCAGGGCUUCACGCAUGCUACAAUGGCUGGUACAGAGAGUGGCGAGCCUGUGAGGGUGAGCGAAUCUCGGAAAGCCGGUCUCAGUUCGGAUUGGGGUCUGCAACUCGACCUCAUGAAGUCGGAGUCGCUAGUAAUCGCAGAUCAGCAACGCUGCGGUGAAUACGUUCCCGGG